rnacentral:rRNA from 1 species
UACGUAGGGUGCAAGCGUUGUCCGGAAUUAUUGGGCGUAAAGAGCUCGUAGGCGGUCUGUCGCGUCUGCUGUGAAAACUCGGGGCUUAACCCCGGGCCUGCAGUCGAUACGGGCAGACUGGAGUUCGGCAGGGGAGACUGGAAUUCCUGGUGUAGCGGUGAAAUGCGCAGAUAUCAGGAGGAACACCGGUGGCGAAGGCGGUGGGCUGGGCCGGAACUGACGCUGAGGAGCGAAAGCGUGGGGAGCGAACAGG